rnacentral:rRNA from 1 species
GNAAUUAUUGGGCGUAAAGAGCUUGUAGGCGGUUGGUCGCNUCUGCUGUGAAAGGCUGGGGCUUAACCCUGGUUUUGCAGUGGGUACGGGCUAACUAGAGUGCAGUAGGGGAGACUGGAAUUCCUGGUGUAGCGGUGGAAUGCGCAGAUAUCAGGAGGANCACCGAUGGCGAAGGCAGGUCUCUGGGCUGUAACUGACGCUGAGAAGCGAAAGCAUGGGGAGCGAACAGGAUUAGAUACCCUGGUAGUCCAUGCCGUAAACGUUGGGCACUAGGUGUGGGGGACAUUCCACGUUUUCCGCGCCGUAGCUAACGCAUUAAGUGCCCCGCCUGGGGAGUACGGCCGCAAGGCUAAAACUCAAAGAAAUUGACGGGGGCCCGCACAAGCGGCGGAGCAUGCGGAUUAAUUCGAUGCAACGCGAAGAACCUUACCAAGGCUUGACAUAUACUGGACUGCGUCAGAGAUGGCGUUUCCCUUCGGGGCUGGUAUACAGGUGGUGCAUGGUUGUCGUCAGCUCGUGUCGUGAGAUGUUGGGUUAAGUCCCGCAACGAGCGCAACCCUCGUUCUAUGUUGCCAGCACGUGAUGGUGGGGACUCAUAGGAGACUGCCGGGGUCAACUCGGAGGAAGGUGGGGAUGACGUCAAAUCAUCAUGCCCCUUAUGUCUUGGGCUUCACGCAUGCUACAAUGGCCGGUACAGAGGGUUGCGAUACUGUGAGGUGGAGCUAAUCCCUAAAAGCCGGUCUCAGUUCGGAUUGGGGUCUGCAACUCGACCCCAUGAAGUCGGAGUCGCUAGUAAUCGCAGAUCAGCAACGCUGCGGUGAAUACGUUCCCGGGCCUUGUACACACCGCCCGUCAAGUCACGAAAGUUGGUAACACCCGAAGCCGGUGGCCUAACCCUGGUGGG